AGUGGGGUGAGGCAUAGAAGACAAAAAGAGAGUAAAAUUAAACAUACAGUAUUAGCAGAAGAGUGAUAACAUUACCAAGAACACCGUGUUGUUCAGGCAGGUGGCUCUCCAUGAGUUCCAUGCCAACCUGGUCUACACAGAGAGUUCCAAGCUACAUAGUGAGACCUAGUCUCAAAAGCAGAAAAUAAAAACAUUUGUUAGCACUCUUAAAAUCUCGAGCAGAGUUGUAGAACCCAAUGGACUCUUACUCAGACUUCUGAUAGAAUUACAAGAGGGAUUUAAAAAUAGGAACUGGUUAGGCAUGGUGGUUUGAAAUCCUAGCAUUUAAGAGGCAGGAGAAUUGAGUUUGAGGCCAGCUUACGCUACAUGGAGAAGACCCCGUCUGUAACGAACGAACACACGCAAAACCGUAAAAUGGUUUCAACGUUUGCCAAUGAUACUCAGAAAUAGAAAACAGUGCCUAACAGUUGGGAAGAGUGUCUACUGUUCUUAGCUUUGCCUCAAGGAAAGAUGCGAUCUUGUCUAUUUUUACAUUUUCAACCACGCAUUCUCUGCACCCAGCAACGCCUUCUUUGUAACGGUGGAAAACCGAGGGAUGGCUGAAGUUUCCCUUCUUAGCACAUCAAUUUAACGGGGGGGGGGGGGGGAAGGGGGGAGUAAAGGCUGUGACUGUGCCUGUGUGACUUAAAAUGACGCUAUGGAUUCGUUUCUCCCUGAAAGCAACUGGAGGGGGUACUGACGUGACAACAGCAGCACCGCCGAAGAAGACACUUGAAUGACUGUUUCCAGGGGAGCCACGUUCCUCAUAGUACGAGCCGCUGUGUGCUCUGCAGCGGCACUGUCUGGGUAAGAGACGGUGUGAUGUCCACUUCCGGCCCCCGCUGACAAGCUCGCCUGUCACUCCAGAGGAGGUGAGUAGUCCAGGCUAGGCUAGGCGCCGUGGCCUCGGCCGUGGCGGAGGCGGGCGACGCGGGCGGUGCUGGAGUCUCGGGCGUCGAGCGGCGCGUGGGAGGCUCAAGACCGCACCCCGCUCCCGCGCCCGCGCCCGCGCCCGCGCGCGCACCGGGCAGCACCACCCGCCGCGGGUCCGCUCGGGGAGGGCGGGCCGGGGAGGCGCCGGGUCACGUGGCGCGGUCACGUGUCCAUCCUUCCCCCCCCCCCCCCCCCUCAGCCCGACUGGCGGUCGCGGGGGCGGCCGAGGGAGGUGGAGUCUCGGCCGAGACGCGGGGGGGAGGUGGUGGCGGCGGCGGCGGCGCCGAGGGCUGCCGGAGGCGGAGGCGGAGAGGCACGAGGCCGCUGCCACGGCCGCUAGGGAGGUGAUUCUGGGAGCAUUAAGAGCAUCUUGGACUCCUGUAAGGGAACACCCUGUCUUCCUCUUUGCCUCUGUAGUUGUAAGAGUCCAUCCAGGACCUUCCAGUCAUGAAUAAUCUGAUGGCUCCUGAAUUAACCGGGAAAACAAACAUAUCAAGUGCCAUUUGAAGACUGUGUCUAUCUAUGUAAAACCUUUUCUGCACAUAGAAGCUUUCCCAUAAGAAGACAUUCUGAAUUUUGCAACUGAUGAAGAUUAAGCAUCAGCUGGAGCACCUUUCCACUGUUGGGGUCGGGAGUCUGUGGAGAACAGUCUGUCACUAAUGUCAGAUUUUCCUUACAGUGUUCAUAAACAAAAGCAAGUUUGCAGAAGAAAAAAUUGCACAGAUUAACCCUAAAGAAUACCUCCAGUGUAAAGCAGAGGCAGACCUUAAAACUCUGAACCGAAGCUCAGUGACUUUUCCUGUGGUUGUAGCAGGAGUGAGGGGACUGAUCUGAAAGGAACAGGUUCCUUUGUGUCUUCAGCUAUCGGAAGUUUUUUAUUUAUUGUUUAUCUUUUUUCUUUUCUGCAUAUAUAUGCCAUUUUAAAAUACUAAUUGGAACUGUCAGUUACAAAAUAAAUAUCAAGAAAAGCCUUUUUUGGUCCA
ensembl:lncRNA